rnacentral:rRNA from 1 species
CGUACGGGUGAGUAACACGUGGAUGAUCUAUCUCUUAGUGGGGAAUAACCCUGGGAAAACCGGGGAUAAUACCGCAUAAGCUCGAGAGAGGAAAGCAGCAAUGCGCUGAGAGAGGAGUCCGCGGCCGAUUAGCUAGUUGGCAGGGUAAAAGCCUACCAAGGCAGAGAUCGGUAGCCGGCCUGAGAGGGCACACGGCCACACUGGCACUGAAACACGGGCCAG